UUCGGGUGCUCUAGAGUGCUAAAUUUAUCUUCAGACCAGCGACCGCGCCAGCCGCGAAUCGGAUCUCUAUGGAGAUGGCCUAGCGAUAUCCCUGAGCUGAGAGCAUCACCCUGUCCCCGAAUCCUUCUUUCCUCUCUGUUUUGUUUUUCAUUCCCCUCCCUCUCUCCCCUCCCCCUCCAGUCCACGACGACUGGCUGUUGACCCUGUUCAGGCCUCGGUGAAGGUGAGGAGCGGAGCCGCCGCCGCGGCUAAGCGGUGCGCUCUGAAAUGGCCGCUUCCUGGAACUGCCUAAGAUGGCGGUCGCGGGCUCUGCUGGGGACCGCGGCGCUGCUGUGCAGCCCAGCCGCGGCGAAAUCCGUUCUCUCCAUCGCUGAUGGAGAUGAAAUAGAGAGAUGGUGUUGGGUGCUGAGACGUUUUCAUGUGGUCGUUAGCGCAGGCGGCCGCCCGGGGACGCGAGAGAAGUCCUGAGGCGAGGGUGGGCUGCGACUGGCUUUUGGUUACUCCCCUUCCCACCCCAUCCCUUAAUUUUAUUCUUUUGAAGAGUGCAUUUCAAGCUGCCAAGGUGAAGAGAGGGAUUACAGAAAGGAGAACACCUUAUUUCAGCUUUUAUUUUUAUGUGAUAAUCUACCUUUAAGAAAAGGUGUACCAUACCUGAGAGCACCAGGAAGUCGCAUGAGAGAUCACCUGAUACAUGAACGUAUGAUGUUCCAUCUGCGCAUUGAUGAAUAGGCAGCAUUUACAAAUUAACUGAUGUGUUGCUGUAUAUCAUCUCUUUGAUGAUUGCUCCUCUUCUUUGUAUCCUGUCUUAUAAUUUCAACACAUUUGUGAUACUCAAUGUCUAUUCUAAAUUAACCAUGUUUUGUACCACAAACUCAUUGCCCAUGGAUCUGUUGCUGAAACAAGGA
rnacentral:lncRNA from 1 species